AUUGAACGCUGGCGGCAGGCCUAACACAUGCAAGUCGAACGAGUGGCGGACGGGUGAGUAAUGUCUGGGAAACCGCCUGAUGGAGGGGGAUAACUCCUGGAAACGGUAGCUAAUACCGCAUACCAUCGGAUGUGCCUAGAUGGGCUUAGCUAGUAGGUGGGGUAACGUCUCACCUAGGCGACGAUCCCUAGCUGGUCUUAGAGGAUGACCAGCCACACUGGAACUGGGACACGGUCAGGAAUCCUACGGGAGGCAGCAGUGGGGAAUAUUGCACAAUGGGCGCAAGCCUGAUGCAGCCAUGCCGCGGGUAUGAAGAAGGCCUUCGGGUUGUAAAGUACUUUCAGCGGGGAGGCGUUACCCACAGAAGAAGCACCGGCUAACUCCGUGCCAGCAGCCGCGGUAAUAC
rnacentral:rRNA from 1 species